AUUGUGUUAUGCGAGUUUUCGGCGCGGCACAUCAUUCGUAAUGAUGGGGUCGCAGGUUCGAGUCCUGCAAGCGGCACCA
rnacentral:tRNA from 1 species